AUGGAAGCUCGUUUCCUACCGGCGUGGCCCGUGCCCCCCACCCCUCCUGCUCAAGCCACCCCUCGACGACCUCUCCAUGUGUGGCUCCACGGAAGGUGCUGCCGCUGCCUCGUCCCAGGUCACCGUGCCGCGGCUUGCCGGGAUCCCAUCAGAUGCUCCCGUUGCCUCCAGUCCGGCCACCGUGCUCAUGGCUGCACCAACGCUUGGCGCCCGCUCAGUUCUCUGAAGCUCCUGCGGCGGCCUGCUGCCGCGCCCCCAGCGGCUCCCUUCGCACCCAGGUCUCCUGCUCGUGGCUGGCCUGCCCCUCCGCAGGCCCCGCCGCUCACGUCAACUGCAUGGCCUCCACUAGGCACUGCUGUCCGAUGGGGAGAAAUUUCGGCAGCUUGA
rnacentral:rRNA from 1 species